rnacentral:lncRNA from 1 species
AUGAAGGAACAGUGUGAAUUGGAAGAGGAAUUAGGGUUAAAAGUAUCUCUUCAAAUCCUUCUGAAACACAAUUCUCCACACAGCACUGCAGGGCCUUCUUCCUCAAUAGCUCACCGCUGUCUCAUAAUCUCCGUCAAAAGCUCUAUCGCUAAACAAAAUCUCUCCGCCCUGGCUUCCAUUCAACGGGACAAUAUUUACCGGGACUUCAUCUUCGAUGACACGACUCUCCUCUCAGUGAGCUCGCCUCUCAACCUCACCCGUUCGUCAACUCGUCUCAACACCUCCAUCUCAGCAAACACCUCCGCAAACAGUCGAGUUUGA